GCGGGGUUGGCGGCGUCCGCCCCGGCCGCGGGCCUUGCGGCGUCCGCACCGGCCGCGAGCUUUGCGGCGCCCGCCCUGGCUGCGGUCCUGCCUCCUCCCGCAUCGGCUUCGGUGCCUCCGGCUGCCUCCAUGGUGUUUGCACCCCAGGCAGCCUCCUCGAUGGGAUUGUCUUCGCCGCCGCCGUUUCACUUCGGUCAUCUCAUCACCAUCAAGCUCUCCGCCGACAACUACAUCUUCUGGCGUGCGCAGGUUCUCCCGCUCUUGGGGAGUCACUACCUGCUAGGCUACGUCGACGGAUCGCUUCCCUGCCCACCCGCGCUGGUAGACAGCGUGCACGGUCCGGUCUACAAUCCGGCCCAUCGCAUUUGGACGGGGCAGGACCAGGCGAACCUCUCCUCCAUCCAAGGGUCGCUCUCGCCGGCAGUUGCCGGCCUUGUUGUCUUCGCGAAGACGUCUCAUGAGGCCUGGACCAUCCUUGAGCGCACCUUUGCAGCGCAGUCCCAGGCUCGUGUCUCUGCACUCCGUCGUCAGCUUGGAGAGUGUCAGAAGCUUGACUCCACUGCCACUGAGUUCUACAACAAGGUCAAGGGCCUCGCCGACACAUUGGCCUCCAUUGGACAGCCCCUCACCGACUCCGAGUUCAACUUGUUUAUUGUCAAUGGUCUUGAUGAGGAGUAUGAUGCUUUAGUCGAGAUCAUCAACGAGCGGGGCAACUCAACACCCAUGCUGGCACACGAGGUUUUCUCUCGGCUCCUUCUCACUGAGCAACGGGUCGAGACUCGCCGCACCAGGGGCACUGGCUCCCUCUCGGCCAACGCCGCCACCAAGGGUGGCCGCUCUUCUUCAUCACCCCGGUCUCCCUUGGGGCUGCCACCGUCGCCCGCCUCGGCCCCCCCACCUACUGCGACCUUACCGGGGGCUGGCGGUCCACGUGUGUGUCAGCUUUGUGGCCGCGAUGGGCACUGGGCCUCCAAGUGUCAUAAGCGCUUCCAGCGAAGCUUCCUUGGUCUUGGCAAUGACGGCAAAGAUACACACAACAAUGCCCGUCAGGUCGCCAUGGCUGAUCGUCCCGCGCCGCAAAAGCAACAGGGACACACUCAGUCCUACUCCAUCGAUCCACACUGGUACAUGGACUCUGGAGCGACAGAGCAUCUAACCAGCGAGAUGGGGAAGCUUCACACUCGUGAACCCUAUCAUGGCUCCAACAAGAUCCACACCGCCAAUGGAGCA
rnacentral:rRNA from 1 species